UGGGGAAUCUUGCGCAAUGGGCGAAAGCCUGACGCAGCCAUGCCGCGUGGAUGAUGAAGGUCUUAGGAUUGUAAAAUCCUUUCACCGGUGAAGAUAAUGACUGUAGCCGGAGAAGAAGCCCCGGCUAACUUCGUGCCAGCAGCCGCGGUAAUACGAAGGGGGCUAGCGUUGCUCGGAAUUACUGGGCGUAAAGGGAGCGUAGGCGGACAUUUAAGUCAGGGGUGAAAUCCCGAGGCUCAACCUCGGAACUGCCUUUGAUACUGGGUGUCUUGAGUGUGAGAGAGGUAUGUGGAACUCCGAGUGUAGAGGUGAAAUUCGUAGAUAUUCGGAAGAACACCAGUGGCGAAGGCGACAUACUGGCUCAUUACUGACGCUGAGGCUCGAAAGCGUGGGGAGCAAACAGGAUUAGAUACCCUGGCUAGUCCACGCCAGUAAACGAUGAUUGCUAGUUGUCUGGGAAGCUUGCUUUUCGGUGACGCAGCUAACGCA
rnacentral:rRNA from 1 species